rnacentral:lncRNA from 13 species
CUGCAGGUUAUAGUAACCAGGGUUACAGCAUCCCUACCAGACUAUAAUAAUGAACAGUACUGUAUGGUGUACCUGCAGGUUAUAGUAACCAGGGUUACAGCAUCCCUACCAGACUAUAAUAAUGAACAAUACUGUAUGGUGUACCUGCAGGUUAUUGUACCUGCAGGUUAUAGUAACCAGGGUUACAGCAUCCCUACCAGACUAUAAUAAUGAACAGUACUGUAUGGUGUACCUGCAGGUUAUUGUACCUGCAGGUUAUAGUAUCCAGGGAUACAGCAUGCCUACCAGACUAUAAUAAUGAACAGUACUGUAUGGUGUACCUGCAGGUUAUAGUAACCAGGGUUACAGCAUCCCUACCAGACUAUAAUAAUGAACAAUACUGUAUGGUGUACCUGCAGGUUAUAGUAACCAGGGUUACAGCAUCCCUACCAGAUGAUAAUAAUGAACAGUACUGUAUGGUGUACCUGCAGGUUAUUGUACCUGCAGGUUAUAGUAACCAGGGUUACAGCAUCCCUACCAGAUGAUAAUAAUGAACAGUACUGUAUGGUGUACCUGCAGGUUAUAGUAACCAGGGUUACAGCAUCCCUACCAGACUAUAAUAAUGAACAGUACUGUAUGGUGUACCUGCAGGUUAUAGUAACCAGGGUUACAGCAUCCCUACCAGAUGAUGAUAAUGAACAAUACUGUAUGGUGUACCUGCAGGUUAUAGUAACCAGGGUUACUCUAUUGAGUCACACCCUAUAAAGUGCUGACAUUCCCCCAGGAUGUCUCUAUUGAGUCACACCCUAUAAAGUGCUGACAGUCCCCCAGGAUGUCUCUAUUGAGUCACACCCUAUAAAGUGCAGACAGUCCCCCAGGAUGUCUCUAUUGAGUCACACCCUAUAAAGUGCAGACAGUCCCCCAGGAUGUCUCUAUUGAGUCACACCCUAUAAAGUGCAGACAGUCCCCCAGGAUGUUUCUCCACCAUGGAAAUGUCUGAUAUUUGUCUGUUGAACCUUUUACUGCAGUAGGCUAAAUCAAUUUGGAGUUUUCAUCCCAAUAUUACACUUUAUAUACAUCACAGAAGACUGAAAUAUAACAAAACUGCUUGACAUAGAAACAUUAGAUUUUCAGCGGGGUUUUGAAAUGUUUAUUCAUUCUGAAAUUAUGAAAAAUAUAACAUUCCGCCCAUGUGGCCAGUAGGUCAUGUGACUGCAGGAAAGGGCUACACAACGAAUUGAUCAAUGUUAGUUCACAUUUUUGAAUUCCAUUUCCUCUGUUUUUCUUCUGUGCGCUCAAUGUGCAUAUCUCAGUUUCUCUAGAGAUAAAUCAGAUCCAGCCAGAACUGUGUGAUGUAGUAGGGACUUGUAGUUUCCAACAGGCCAAUAUUCUACAUAGUUUAGCGCAUUAAAACGUGGUAAUUAACUACAAUGACCAUUAUCCAUUGCGUAUCUACUCUUCCGAUCUGAGUGCGCGAUCGUGAGCAACUGUUGCUUCGUGAGGUGUCUCUAUCUGAAAAUACAUGAUCUAUGUGAUUGAUAGUUGGUAUUCGGCAGUCAUAAAAGUCAGCCUUAUUUAUGAAGAACUACAAAAUAGUGGUUUUGUCA